GUGGGGAAUAUUGGACAAUGGGCGCAAGCCUGAUCCAGCCAUGCCGCGUGAGUGAUGAAGGUCUUAGGAUUGUAAAGCUCUUUCACCGGUGAAGAUAAUGACGGUAACCGGAGAAGAAGCCCCGGCUAACUUCGUGCCAGCAGCCGCGGUAAUACGAAGGGGGCUAGCGUUGUUCGGAUUUACUGGGCUUAAACCGCACGUAGGCGGACUUUUAAGUCAGGGGUGAAAUCCCAGAGCUCAACUCUGGAACUGCCUUUGAUACUGGAAGUCUUGAGUAUGGAAGAGGUGAGUGGAAUUCCGAGUGUAGAGGUGAAAUUCGUAGAUAUUCGGAGGAACACCAGUGGCGAAGGCGGCUCACUGGUCCAUUACUGACGCUGAGGUGCGAAAGCGUGGGGAGCAAACAGGAUUAGAUACCCUAGUAGUCC
rnacentral:rRNA from 1 species